CUACAGACCACUGAAUCAACCUGAAGUUCUGGAUAUGGUGGAUUUUCUGCAAUUAUAUUAACAUUUAGGACACUAGAUUGAAGACUGAGACACAGGUGGUGGUGAAGUGGAUGAGUCCAUUUCUUCAAGUAUCUUUGGUAAAAGUAUGCGCAUGUGUGUGCAUGUGCCUAAUUGUUAUUGGCUUGUAUACUAAUUUUUGUGUUUUAUAGGAAGAAGGUUGAGAUCCAUAGUUUCAUUGGUAUAGAGAUGAGGAAUCUCUCUCUGUCAAUACAAAUGAGUACUUUCUCUGCAACUUAUAGUCAUAGGGAGUUGCUUAGAGCAAUUAAGAGACAUCCCUCCAGUUUUGAUACAAAUCCAUUAACCACUACUCAUUGGGUUCAGUCAUUCAAACAGUUCUGAGUUUAUCUAAAUGAACUAUCAUUCAGUACACAUCUCUCUACAUUAUCCCCAAAGAUAUCAUGAAAGACUUGUCUGUUGUCUUGCUGUGGUAUAAUUCAUCUAUUUGUUCAAUCCAAGAAUUAAAGGGGAAAAAAAGAUAAACAUUCACCAUAUUUGAUUUGACCUAAUACAACAUGGUACUAUUGAAGAUUUCUCUCCUUGUUCUAUUCUAAUUUUUGGAUUUUCCCACCAAGUAUCAUUGCUUUCUUAUUUUGGUUCAAUUUUUCCUCCAUACUAGCCCCCUCUCCCAUUGAGAGUUCUUUAUGGUAUUUCCAUUUUGAAGAGGGGCCCAAUUUAGGCUAUCCUUCAUUCCCCUCAUGGCUCUGAUUCUGAUUCUCCAUAUUGCCUUCUCAACUUAAGGUGGGCAUCUUCUUUCUCUACUCCACCUUUCUCAGCUUCACUUUUAUAUGUGACCUUUGUCCCAUUAGGAUGUAAACUUCUUUCAGGCAGUGACUUUUUUUUUUUUUAAUGUAAUUGUAUUCUUAGUGUUUAGCACUGUAUCUAGCACACAGUAAAUGAUUAAUACAUGUUUGCUCCUUGUCUACCUGCCUGGGAAAAAUAUUGGAAAACUGAAUGGUCACUGAUGAAAAGGCUACCACCUGGAGAGAAGCAGGAAGGACAUGAGCUAGGAAGACAUUCACCUGACAUGGAUUUUGUGGGUUUCCAGGUGCCAUAUUUUUGGAGGGACACUGACAAGCUUAUCCAAAGGAUGGUGACCAGGAUGAAGGACUCAAAAUCAUGUCAUGUGACAAAAAUAUAUAUUUAGCAUGGAGAAAACAAGAGUUGAAUAACAGCUUUAAGUUCUACCUUCCAAUUCUAUUGAAAAUGAAUCUGGGUGGUUGUGCUGAGCAUCUGGGCGGAGCUGAACACCUGGGC
rnacentral:lncRNA from 1 species